rnacentral:rRNA from 1 species
UACGUAGGGGGCAAGCGUUGUCCGGAUUUAUUGGGCGUAAAGAGCGUGUAGGCGGCUUUACAGGUCCGUUGUGAAAACUCGAGGCUCAACCUCGAGACGCCGGUGGAAACCGUAAAGCUAGAGUCCGGAAGAGGAGAGUGGAAUUCCUGGUGUAGCGGUGAAAUGCGCAGAUAUCAGGAUGAACACCCGUGGCGAAAGCGGCUCUCUGGGACGGUACUGACGCUGAGACGCGAAAGCGUGGGGAGCAAACAGG